GACGAACGCUGGCGGCGUGCUUAACACAUGCAAGUCGAACGGAAAGGCCCUGCUUUUGUGGGGUGCUCGAGUGGCGAACGGGUGAGUAACACGUGAGUAACCUGCCCUUGACUUUGGGAUAACUUCAGGAAACUGGGGGUAAUACCGGAUAGGAGCUCCUGCUGCAUGGUGGGGGUUGGAAAGUUUCGGCGGUUGGGGAUGGACUCGCGGCUUAUCAGCUUGUUGGUGGGGUAGUGGCUUACCAAGGCUUUGACGGGUAGCCGGCCUGAGAGGGUGACCGGCCACAUUGGGACUGAGAUACGGCCCAGACUCCUACGGGAGGCAGCAGUGGGGAAUAUUGCACAAUGGGCGGAAGCCUGAUGCAGCAACGCCGCGUGCGGGAUGACGGCCUUCGGGUUGUAAACCGCUUUCGCCUGUGACGAAGCGUGAGUGACGGUAGUGGGUAAAGAAGCACCGGCUAACUACGUG
rnacentral:rRNA from 1 species